rnacentral:lncRNA from 1 species
CCUCAUCAACAACCUCCUUCUAAACCCGUCAUACCCUGUGGAAGUAAUCUCAAGGUCUAGAAUGGCGGUGAAUACUAGGAACGCAAUUGGUGUCAUUCUCCUCCUGGUCGUGAUGGUAGCGGCGGUAUCAACACCAUUGGCAACUGCCGAAGAGUUCUGUUGGGACAAAUGUAUCAAGCGCUGCAAGGGAGAACUGGAGGUUUGUAGCCCAAAGUGCAUUCAUUUUUGCAACUAUCAAUCCGGAGACGUAGGAUAUGUUAA